rnacentral:lncRNA from 1 species
CCGGCCAAGGGGCCCAAGCCGGAGAAGCCCCCGACCAAGGGCCACGGCCACAAGCCGGAGAAGCCGCCCAAGGAGCACAAGCCGACUCCGCCCACCUACACCCCGAGCCCCAAGCCCACGCCGCCGCCGGCUACUCCCAAGCCGACGCCGCCCACCUACACGCCGAGCCCUAAGCCCAAGUCGCCGGUCUACCCUCCCCCGCCGAAAGCCAGUACUCCUCCGACCUACACCCCGAGCCCCAAGCCUCCGGCGACCAAGCCGCCUACCUACCCGACCCCCAAGCCACCAGCUACCAAGCCUCCGACACCUCCUGUGUACACUCCGAGCCCCAAACCACCGGUUACAAAGCCUCCUACACCCAAGCCGACCCCGCCGGUGUACACGCCGAACCCCAAGCCACCGGUUACCAAGCCUCCGACACACACGCCGAGCCCCAAGCCUCCGACAUCCAAGCCGACUCCGCCGGUGUACACACCGAGCCCCAAGCCACCGAAGCCGUCCCCGCCGACGUACACGCCGACCCCGAAGCCACCGGCUACCAAGCCGCCCACCUCAACUCCGACGCACCCUAAGCCGACGCCGCACACGCCUAUCCCCAAGCCCACGCCGCCAAC